rnacentral:misc_RNA from 1 species
AAACUGCGAUAAGUGAUGUGAAUUGCAGGAUUCCGUGAAUCAUCAAAUCUUUGAACGCAAGUUGCACCUCUCGGCUCUCCGAGAGGUACACUCGUUUGAGCGUCACCCCAUCACCUCAAAAUCCUCUCCAGGAUUUUGGACACGGGCUGUCAUCAUGCUGUUUGGCAUGACGUCGCCUGAGUCGGAUGGAGAGCCAUGAAAUGGACUGUGAGACAUGAACUACAUUUGUGGGCGAGUCGUGAGACUCCCUCCCCUCAAUUGUAGUGUCUCAUGAGUUCAUCUCAUGCUUUCCCUGGGAAAGGCCAGGAACAGCUGGUUGUACCUCUUUGCAGUGACCUCAAAUCGAGUGAAGCUACCCGCCGAAUUUAA